rnacentral:tmRNA from 1 species
GGGGAUGACAGGCUUCGACGGAAGAGGCUGGUCCCGGACUGCGAGUCGAGAGGUGCCGACCUCGAUAAAUCAGCACACCAAAUUAAGUGCCAAUCGCACUGACUACGCAGCUCUGCCCCUCGCCGCGUAAGUGGUUGAGUAAAGAGCUCGUCUGACCUCUCAGUAGGUCACGCCCGCCAUCUCCUAACUCCGGCUGGAGGUGGUCUGGGCGACACAAAGCUGGAGUGCCACUCGGGACGCUGCUAAACGGGUGAAAGAAAGGCUUUCGGGCCUUAGCAGCUAACCAGUAAAACCCUGGGUCACCUGUGGGUUUGCUGGUGAACACAAACAGGUGACUACACUCGUAGAUGUUCGAGGGCUUAAUCUUGCGGACGCGGGUUCGAUUCCCGCCAUCUCCACCU